rnacentral:rRNA from 1 species
AUACUCCUGACUGACCGAUAGUGAACCAGUACCGUGAGGGAAAGGCGAAAAGAACCCCGGCGAGGGGAGUGAAAAAGAACCUGAAACCGUGUACGUACAAGCAGUGGGAGCCUCUUUUAUGGGGUGACUGCGUACCUUUUGUAUAAUGGGUCAGCGACUUAUAUUCUGUAGCAAGGUUAACCGAAUAGGGGAGCCGAAGGGAAACCGAGUCUUAACUGGGCGUUAAGUUGCAGGGUAUAGACCCGAAACCCGGUGAUCUAGCCAUGGGCAGGUUGAAGGUUGGGUAACACUAACUGGAGGACCGAACCGACUAAUGUUGAAAAAUUAGCGGAUGACUUGUGGCUGGGGGUGAAAGGCCAAUCAAACCGGGAGAUAGCUGGUUCUCCCCGAAAGCUAUUUAGGUAGCGCCUCGUGAAUUCAUCUCCGGGGGUAGAGCACUGUUUCGGCAAGGGGGUCAUCCCGACUUACCAACCCGAUGCAAACUGCGAAUACCGGAGAAUGUUAUCACGGGAGACACACGGCGGGUGCUAACGUCCGUCGUGAAGAGGGAAACAACCCAGACCGCCAGCUAAGGUCCCAAAGUCAUGGUUAAGUGGGAAACGAUGUGGGAAGGCCCAGACAGCCAGGAUGUUGGCUUAGAAGCAGCCAUCAUUUAAAGAAAGCGUAAUAGCUCACUGGUCGAGUCGGCCUGCGCGGAAGAUGUAACGGGGCUAAACCAUG